CACGUAGGGUGCGGGCGUUGCCCGGAAUUAUUGGGCGUAAAGAGCUCGUAGGCGGUGUGUCGCGUCGGCCGUGAAAACCUGCAGCUUAACUGUGGGCUUGCGGUCGAUACGGGCAUCACUGGAGUUCGGCAGGGGAGACUGGAAUUCCUGGUGUAGCGGUGAAAUGCGCAGAUAUCAGGAGGAACACCGGUGGCGAAGGCGGGUCUCUGGGCCGAUACUGACGCUGAGGAGCGAAAGCGUGGGGAGCGAACAGG
rnacentral:rRNA from 1 species